ACAAGCGGUGGAUGAUGUGGUUUANUUCGACGCAACGCGAAAAACCUUACCUACCCUUGACAUGCUUGGAAUCCUGCAGAGAUGUGGGAGUGCUCGAAAGAGAACCAAGACACAGGUGCUGCAUGGCCGUCGUCAGCUCGUGUCGUGAGAUGUUGGGUUAAGUCCCGCAACGAGCGCAACCCUUGUCAUUAGUUGCUACGAAAGGGCACUCUAAUGAGACUGCCGGUGACAAACCGGAGGAAGGUGGGGAUGACGUCAGGUCAUCAUGGCCCUUAUGGGUAGGGCUACACACGUCAUACAAUGGCCGGUACAGAGGGCUGCCAACCCGCGAGGGGGAGCUAAUCCCAGAAAACCGGUCGUAGUCCGGAUCGCAGUCUGCAACUCGACUGCGUGAAGUCGGAAUCGCUAGUAAUCGCGGAUCAGCUUGCCGCGGUGAAUACGUUCCCGGGUCUUGUACACACCGCCCGUCACACCAUGGGAGCGGGUUCUGCCAGAAGUAGUUAGCCUAACCGCAAGGAGGGCGAUUACCACGGCAGGGUUCGUGACUGGGGUGAAGUCGUAACAAGGUAGCCGUAUCGGAAGGUGCGGCUGGAUCACCUCCUU
rnacentral:rRNA from 1 species